CCUACGGGAGGCAGCAGUGGGGAAUAUUGGACAAUGGGCGCAAGCCUGAUCCAGCCACGCCGCGUGAGUGAUGAGGGCCUUCGGGUUGUAAAGCUCUGUGGGGAGGGGCGAAAACGGCCGGUAAGAAACGACCGGUCCUUGACGGUACCUCCUUAGCAAGCACCGGCUAACUCUGUGCCAGCAGCCGCGGUAAU
rnacentral:rRNA from 1 species